rnacentral:rRNA from 1 species
UGCAGGCUGCAACCCGCCUGCAUGAAGCCGGAAUCGCUAGUAAUCGCGGAUCAGAAUGCCGCGGUGAAUACGUUCCCGGGUCUUGUACACACCGCCCGUCACACCAUGGGAGUCGAUAACGCCCGAAGUCAGUGACCCAACCGAAAGGAGGGAGCUGCCGAAGGCGGGAUGGAUAACUGGGGUGAAGUCGUAACAAGGUAGC